rnacentral:rRNA from 1 species
GUGGGGAAUAUUGGACAAUGGGCGAAAGCCUGAUCCAGCCAUGUCGCGUGUGUGAAGAAGGUCUUCGGAUUGUAAAGCACUUUAAGUUGGGAGGAAGGGCAGUAAGUUAAUACCUUGCUGUUUUGACGUUACCGACAGAAUAAGCACCGGCUAACUUCGUGCCAGCAGCCGCGGUAAUACGACGGGUGCAAGCGUUAAUCGGAAUUACUGGGCGUAAAGCGCGCGUAGGUGGUUUUGUAAGUUGGAGGUGAAAUCCCCGGGCUCAACCUGGGAACUGCCUGCAAAACUGCAUGAAUAGAGUACGGUAGAGGGUAGUGGAAUUUCCUGUGUAGCGGUGAAAUGCGUAGAUAUAGGAAGGAACACCAGUGGCGAAGGCGACUACCUGGACUGAUACUGACACUGAGGUGCGAAAGCGUGGGGAGCAAACAGGAUUAGAAACCCUAGUAGUCC